GCAGUGAUGGCUCAGUGUUAGAAUUCUUGCCUUCCAUGUGGUAGACCUGGGUUCGAUUCCCAGCCAGUGCA
rnacentral:tRNA from 1 species